rnacentral:rRNA from 1 species
CUCGUAGAUGGCCAACUAAAUCAGACGUGAAAUCCCUCAACUUAACCGAGGAACUGCGUCUGAUACUGGAUGGCUUGAGGGUUGGGGGGAGGGGACGCGGAAUUCCAGAUGUAGCGGUGAAAUGCGUAGAUAUCUGGAGGAACACCGGUGGCGAAGGCGGCGUCCUGGACCAAUUCUGACACUGAGGAGCGAAAGCCAGGGGAGCAAACG